rnacentral:rRNA from 1 species
AUGGGAUGCCACAAGGUAUUGUUGGAAACUGACUCUGCACAACUGAAGACUGCUGUGACAACUGAAGAUUAUGAUUUGGCGGUUCUAGGAGCUAUAUUCAGAGAUAUAAAAUUUCAGUUGUGUGUAGAUUUCACGGAUGUAUCUGUUGUUUAUUGCCCUCGGGUCUGUAAUUCUGUAGCUCACUGUUUAGCUAAAUAUGGUGCUAAUUUGGGAGCUGGAACCUGUGAGACUUGGCUGGGAUAGCUACCGGACUUUGUACUAAGUGUUGCUGCUGGCGAUUUGCCCAAUGGCACCAUAUAA